GGGUACUUAGCUCAGCUGGUUAGAGCAUUUGCUCGACACGCAAAAGGUCGCAGGUUCGACUCCUGCAGUGCCCA
rnacentral:tRNA from 1 species